AUGCGCCAGCCUGACUCAGCCGCAGACAGCAGCAGCAGCAGCAGCAGCGCGAGGAGGAAGAUGGCGCACCCGGCGAUGUUCCCUCGAAGGGGCAGCAGCAGCAGCAGCACCACUGGUAGUGGCAGCGUCCCCCCUCCCAGCGCCGGUGCCGGCGGUGUUGCCCUCUCCGCGGAGGAGUAUCAGCCACCUCUGCUGGGCCAGCCGCUGCUGCCUGCGUCUCCCGCAGCAGCGUCUGCCUCGCCGGGUCCCCAGCCGGCACCUCCUCCUCCACAGAGCCUGAACCUCCUCCCGCAGGCACCGCUCCCGCAGCAGCCUCUGGGCCAGGCCGGAGCACAAAUGAAGAAGAAAAGCGGCUUCCAGAUCACUAGCGUGACCCCGGCCCAGAUCUCGGCCAGCAUCAGCUCCAACAACAGCAUAGCCGAGGACACGGAAAGCUACGACGAUCUGGAUGAGUCCCACACGGAAGACCUGUCAUCUUCCGAAAUCCUGGAUGUUUCGCUCUCCAGGGCCACUGACUUGGGGGAACCCGAACGGAGCUCCUCUGAAGAGACUUUAAACAACUUCCAAGAGGCUGAGACUCCAGGGGCUGUCUCUCCAAACCAGCCUCACCUUUCUCAGCAGCACCCUCCUUUGCCUCACCCUGCCCAGCAGAGCGUUGUGAUCAAUGGGAGUGUUCACCCGCAUCACGUUCACCACCACCAUCCCCUCCAUCACCAUGGCCAUCACCAUCCAUCUGCUCCUGGAGUGGGCAGCACACCAGCCUCUGGAGGACCACCUCCCAGUCCAUCCUUUAGAAAACUGUCCACAACUGGAAGCUCUGACAAUGUUAUAACAACUGCACCAGUUUCUGCUGCAUCAUCCACUGGUAGCCCGGCAUCUGUCAUGUCCAGUAUCCGCACUACAAGUACUCCUGGCAAUAUAGGUGUGAGUCCUGUUACUGGAACUAGUACGUUAAGUAAUAUGGGUGGUGGUAGCUCUGGUGUGACGAGCGGCAUGGCUGGUACUGUAAAUUUAAACAACAUUACAAGUACUGGUAACGUAAAUGCUUUGUCUGGAACUGGCAGCAGUGUUAAUGUGAAUAUCUUGAGUGGUAUUGGCAAUGGUACGAGUGCUUCCUCUAAUGUCAUUAACAAUGUUACUAAUCCAACAGCAGGACUGGGAUCAAGUCAGCAGCAGCCUGCAGCUGGCACGUCAAGGUUUAGAGUUGUAAAAUUAGAUUCCAGCUCCGAACCUUUUAAAAAGGGGAGAUGGACAUGCACUGAAUUCUAUGAUAAAGACAACACUGUUGCAGUUACAGAAGGAGUAGCAGUAAACAAAGCGGUAGAGACUAUAAAACAAAACCCACUUGAAGUGACUUCUGAAAGGGAGAGCACCAGUGGGAGUUCUGUUAGCAGCAGUGUAAGCACACUGAGUCACUACACAGAAAGUGUGGGAAGUGGAGAAAUGGGAGCACCUACUGUGGUUCAACAGCAAGCAUUUCAAGGUGUGGGUCCACAGCAGAUGGAUUUUAGCAGUGCUGGUCCUCAGCCUAUUCCAGCAUCCAGUAUACCACAGAGUGUUUCUCAGUCACAGCUUGCUCAAGUCCAGCUGCAUGCCCAAGAAGUAAACUAUUCGCAGCAAAAGCAAGGGGUCCAGCCUCCUGUGUCGGCCAGCCUAACCACCGUUACUGGAGUUCAAUCAACCCCAGUUAAUAUAGUAGGUGUAUCUUCAGCUUUAGGCCACCAACAACCUGCCAUGCAGAGUAUGGCUCAACAACAACUACCAUAUUCUCAGCCAGCACAACCUGUGCAAACUUUGCCAGUUGUACAACAGCAGCAAUUACAGUAUGGACAACAACAGCAGCAACAACAAGCAGUUCCUACACAGAUGGCCCCAGGGCUUGUUAAACAAGUGAGUCAAAACUCUGUUACAGGGACUAUGCCAGACUACAUGCAACACCAACAGAUACUUCAGACUUCAGCACCUGCCAUGCAGUCUGGUACUACAGCAGUAGGAACAGGCACGCCAGUUCCUGUUGCUCAGGCACCAAGCAUGCAGCCUUCAGUACAAGCACACCCUGCCGUGACACCAGCCCAGCCUGUUGCACAUGCUCAAACAGCAAUGCCAGCGGUAGGUACUAGUGGUCAGAUUAUGAAUGUUGGACAACAAGUAAGUGUACCUACAGUUGUGCAGCAGGCACCUGGUGCAAACCAAAUUCCUCCUUCAGUUAUGCAACCAAGCACUGCUCCUCCAGCUUCACAAGUGGUGCAGCCUGUUCAGACUGGGAUAAUGCAGCAAGGACUACAGUCUGGUGGCCCAAGCCUUCCUCAGCAAAUGAUCAUUGCUCAGCAAAGUACUUUGUUACCUGUACAACCACAGGCACAGGCCGUAGAAUCUGUAGCGCAAGGAAUGACCAGCCAGCAGUUGCCUGCAGUUAGUCCUAUACCUUCUGCUAGUACUGUUCCUGCUCCAAGCCAACCUAGUUCAAAUAUCCCUCCUGGUAUACCUUCUGCUUCUAUAAGUAUGGGUCCACCACACAAUAUAGCACAAGCUUCAACUGUACAAAAUGGGAAUUUGGUUCAAAGUGUUGCUCAGCCUUCCGUGAUAUCAACAAGUAUAGGUAUGCCAGUAGCACCAAGUGUGCCGCAACAGGUACCACUAAGCUCCACCCAGUUCCCUGCACAGUCACUAACUCAGUCAAUUGUAAGCCAAAUUGAAGAUGGCAGGCGCCCUACAGAGCCUUCCUUAGUUGGUUUACCUCAAGCUGCUAGUGGUGAAAGUGGUGUUGGAGCAUCAGGUCUUUCAGAUGGGAGUGGCAGCAGCAUAACGUCCUCUGCUUCCCUUUUUCCUCUGAAGGUACUGCCGCUGACAACACACCUUGUUGAUGGUGAGGAUGAGAGCUGCCCUGAAAGGUAAAGGGAAGAGACAAUGGAAGGCCGAGAGAGAAUCCAAGAAAUAUCAGGAGUGAAUCUCAAAACAGAAGCUCCAGGUUGGAGAAUCAAAAUACAGUUUCCUCUUGGAUGGAUCUGCUUCCACGACUUGCUGCUUCUUUCCCUUGAGCAAAUGCUUAAGUGGUUGUGAGCCUUCAGUGAAGAGGCGGUCUAAAAUGGUAGAAGAGAUUAUUCUUGGAUAUUGGUCUUUUUUGACACCCUUUAUAAAAAUGAGAUCCUGUAAGACUGCUCUAGAGCUAAAAUAUUUGACCAUCUUAUGAAUAGAAAUCCAGAUGAUUUUUUUUUUUUAGAAAAUAUGUAUUCAUUUAGAAAUGUAUUCUAGUUUUCCAGAGCUCUUCUCUGUGAACACUGUUUAGGUUUGAUCUGACUUUGAGAUGUGUGGGUUGGAUUUAAGUGAACAUAUCAAAAUGUGCAAGCCUUCAGCUCUAUUGUUAUGAGUGAAUCUUCAUCUGUGUGAAGUUAGGCCUAGUUGCCCUCUGCAUAAGAGAGAUUCAAGGAGCAUAUGUAUCUACUGUGCCACAGACAAACAACUUCAAGACAUUCAUCUUGCAUUUCCAGUUCUGUUUCUGUAAUUGCAAAGUAUAUUUGGAAAGAGAACUUAUGAAAAAUAAGAUAUAAUUACUUCUCCCUGCCUGCUUUCCCUGAAGCUCUUAGAAAAGAUUUGUGUCUGGGAUGUCAGAUCACCAGCACAUGAAGUAUGGUGCAUUUUGAAAUCUUUUAAAAAAAUGUAGCAUUUGGCUCUAGCUGGGCUCUAGCUUAAUUGCUUUGCUUUAGCUUAAAUUUAAACUUUUUCAAAAUAUAUUUCCAAAAAAUAUGGAGAAAGAAAUGACUUAGUGUGACUUAUUCUUAACAGUUUUUGAGAACAGUUCUUUGUACAGUUAAAGUACCUAUCAAACUUGGGAGGGAAUCCUAUGUUCAAAAUCAGUUUACUGUAGUGUUUGAUCUUUUGAGAAAUAAGAAAUGUUGUCUGAAACGUUGAACCAUAGUACCGAACAGUAAACAGUAUAGAAAUAAAUGAGUUGUGAAGAAAAAUAUUUUUAAAUUCAGACUUCUCAAAGUAUUUUGGAGCUAUCGGUAGGGGGAACCUUACAAACAGAUGAAGAACACUUUUUUUGUUUUCCUGAUAGCUGCUUCUGGUAGUUGGAAUUAAACUAGUUUGGAUCAACUUAAUUUCUUAAGUCAGUUAACCAUGAAACAUUGGUUUUAACUAAUGCCUAGAUAUGUAUUAAAUUUACCAGCAUACUUAAAUCUCUUACAUAGCCUCUGGGUUACUGCUUCAUGGCUGUUGUGAUUUAUGUUGGAAUGCAUUUCAAUCUUAGAAUAUUCUAAAAAUAAUUGUUCAGAUGAGGCUUAAAUACAUACUUACGUAGUGAGCCAUUCUCAUUUGGUUCUCUGUCAGAUGACUUCAAUGUCUUUUUAAUGCUAUGAAUACAUAUCAAACCACUACUCUGCUUGAUCUCUUCUGUAGUUUUGUUCAGUAAUAUGCUUAAUAAUCUGCUACUUUUUAGAAAAUUGAGCCUCAAGUGUGUUUAAAAAAAAAAAAAAAAUACAGGACAGUAAGAAUAACGUUCAUGGUUUAAAGAAAGUUCUGUUUUUCAAACUGUAGUAGUGGCAUACCAGCAGAUUCAGCAUGGUAUAAAUCGAAAGUGAUUUUUUUUACAGUGAUGGUGUCUUGAAAUUAGAUUAUAUCAUUCGAGAAGCUUAUUUAUUACAGGCAUCUUUAUUUGACUUUCUAAAUCCCCUGCCAAGACUUAAAUUCAUAUUGUAGGAAUCUCCAGCUUAAACCUUGUUGAUCUCAGGAGAGAGAGGCCAAAAUAUGUGCAUUUCUUAAUGCUACUAAGAGAGCUGCAUUCAGGAAAGCAUUUAAAUAUGUGCAGAACUUUUUUAUUGCGAGUUAGGUGCUUGUUUAAAAGCCCUUUCUUAAUAGGAGUAUUAUCCAGAAUUGGGGUCUUGGAUUGCUAUACAUAACACAAUAAAGUAAUCUGGCAUGCUUUUCACAUCUCAUACAAACUAUAAAAAGGUUUUUGAGAACUGUUUUAAUCAUAAUGUCUCUUUAGAGACAUUGUUAAAUUGAAAUAUUUCUAAGCUUUAAAAAAUUACUUUGUUUAUAAACCCUUAAAAAUAACUUGAAAUAACUGUUCAUAUUUCUCUUUAAUAAAAUUCAUGUUCUGGUUACUGUUUUUGUAAAUGAAAAUGUACUAUUAAUUUUAAACCAGCAUUUUGUAAGGUAACAUUACAGUGCUCUGAAGCCUGCAGCCGGACUGCUGUUUCUAGAGUAAUGUCUCUUUCUUAUGUAUUAAAUAUAAUAAAUAUAUUGAAGCAAUCA